rnacentral:rRNA from 1 species
CAGUAGCCGCGGGAAUACGGAGGGAGCUAGCGUCGUUCGGAAUUACUGGGCGUAAAGCGCGCGUAGGCGGUUACUCAAGUCAGAGGUGAAAGCCCGGGGCUCAACCCCGGAACUGCCUUUGAAACUAGGUGACUAGAAUCUUGGAGAGGUCAGUGGAAUUCCGAGUGUAGAGGUGAAAUUCGUAGAUAUUCGGAAGAACACCAGUGGCGAAGGCGACUGACUGGACAAGUAUUGACGCUGAGGUGCGAAAGCGUGGGGAGCAAACAGGAUUAGAGACCCCUGUAGUCCCUGUCUCUUAUAC